UUAAGUCUUGACGAGUAAGAGGGUCGCGACGGUGAGCGCAGAAGGGUCAGGGCGAGAGCCUGCCUGGAGCCGCCGUUGGUGCAGAUCUUGGUGGUAGUAGCAAAUACUCUAGCGAGGGCCUGGAGGACUGACGUGGAGAAGGGUUUCUUGUGAACAGCCGUUGCACAAGAGUCAGUCGACCCUGAGCCCUAGGAGAAAUCCGAUGACGAUGGGUGGCUUAACAAUAUGAGCACAUGUUAUGUGUGUGUCAUAAUAUUACAGACCACAGACUGUGAUGUCCUGUGCACAAUACUGCUCUUGACAUGAACAGCUCCUUUCGGGCAAAAGGGAAUCCGGUUCCUAUUCCGGAACCCGGCUGCGUAACCGCUUCUUUGCGGGCACUUGCUUGCGAGCGCUCGUCGGGGUAACCCAAACUGGCCUGGAGACGCCGGCGGGGGGUCUGGAAAGAGUUUUCUUUUCUUUAUAAGCGUUCGAGUACCCUGGAAUCCUAUAGCAGGGAGAUAGGGUUUGGAAUGCGAAGAGCACCGCAGUUGCGGCGGUGUCCGGACCUUCCCCCCGGACCUUGAAAAUCCAGGUGAGGGCCACGCGGAAGUCGCGCCGG
rnacentral:rRNA from 1 species